rnacentral:sRNA from 1 species
GCGGCCGCCGCCGUGGCCAAGGCGGCCCCCGCCCCCACCGCCAGCUCCACCAUCAACAUCAACACCUCCACCUCCAAGUUCUUAAUGAAUGUUAUAACUAUUGAAGAUUAUAAGAGCACAUACUGGCCAAAAUUGGAUGGUGCCAUAGAUCAACUUUUAACUCAGAGUCCUGGUGACUAUAUCCCCAUAUCCUAUGAACAGAUAUACAGUUGUGUGUAUAAAUGUGUAUGCCAGCAGCACUCGGAACAGAUGUAUAGUGAUCUGAUUAAAAAGAUAACUAAUCACUUAGAGAGAGUCUCGAAGGAGCUGCAGGUAAAGAACUGAUUGUAUUGAUUUUUGCUUCCUUGGGUUUUCCUGACUGGUUACAGUUAGCUUUUCUAAUACACAUUUGGAAGCUUGUUAAUUUGAUUAUGAUAUAAAUUUAUAAAUGUU